CCUACGGGGGGCAGCAGUGGGGAAUAUUGGACAAUGGGGGGAACCCUGAUCCAGCCAUGCCGCGUGUGUGAAGAAGGCCCUCGGGUUGUAAAGCACUUUCAGUGAGGAAGAACGCCUGGUGGUUAAUACCCAUCAGGAAAGACAUCACUCACAGAAGAAGCACCGGCUAACUCCGUGCCAGCAGCCGCGGUAAUACGGAGGGUGCGAGCGUUAAUCGGAAUUACUGGGCGUAAAGCGCGCGUAGGUGGCUUGAUAAGCCGGUUGUGAAAGCCCCGGGCUCAACCUGGGAACGGCAUCCGGAACUGUCAAGCUAGAGUGCAGGAGAGGAAGGUAGAAUUCCAGGUGUAGCGGUGAAAUGCGUAGAGAUCGGGAGGAAUACCAGUGGCGAAGGCGGCCUUCUGGACUGACACUGACACUGAGGUGCGAAAGCGUGGGUAGCAAACAGGAUUAGAUACCCUUGUAGUC
rnacentral:rRNA from 1 species